CCCCACUAUGCCUAGCCAUUAACAACAAUCAACCCAACCUACCAACCAUUCGCCAGAGAACUACAAGCAAACCGCUUGAAACUCAAAGGACUUGGCGGUGUCCCAUAUCCCCCUAGAGGAGCCUGUCCUAUAAUCGAUACUCCACGCUAAACCUCACCACCCCAGGCCAAUCCAGUUUAUAUACCGCCGUCACCAGCCUACCCUGUGAAGGCCACCAAAGUAGGCAGAAACGCCUGCACAAAUACGUCAGGUCAAGGUGUAGCUAAUGGAGUGGAAGAGAUGGGCUACAUUUUCUAACCUAGAAAACACGGACACUACAAUGAAAUCUUGUACUUAAAGGAGGAUUUAGUAGUAAAAUAACGAAGAAAACUUAUUUUAACCUGGCACUG
rnacentral:rRNA from 1 species